GCAAGCGUGACAGAGUGAGUCAAAGUGCCUGCCAUUAGGUAGGCUUUUGUGGAAUGUAAAAAGUUCUACGAAUAAGGACUGGGUAAGACUAGUGCCAGCCGCCGCGGUAAUACUAGCGGUCCAAGUCGCAGCCAUUCUUAUUGGGUCUAAAACAUCCGUAGCUUGCUUGAUAAGUUUUCUGUGAAAUCUCAUAUCUCAAGUAUAAGAAUUGUGGAAAAUACUGUCAAGCUAGAGACCGGGAGACGUAAAGAGUACGUCUAAAGUAGCGGUAAAAUGUGUUGAUCUUAGGCGGACUGACGAUAGCGAAGGCACUUUACGAGAACGGUUCUGACAGUAAGGGAUGAAGGCUAGGGGCGCAAAACGGAUUAGAUACCCGUGUAGUCCUAGCAGUAAACACUGCACACUAAACCUUGUGAUCUCUUCGAGAGAUUGCAGGGCUGCAGGGAAGCCGAAGAGUGUGCUACCUGGGAAGUAUAGUCGCAAGGCUGAAACUUAAAGGAAUUGGCGGGGAGACACUACAACGGGUGACGCGUGCGGUUCAAUUAGAUUAUACACCGUGAACCUCACCAGGAGCGACAGCAGAAUGAAGGUCAGUCUAAAGGGCUUACCUGACACGCUGAGAGGGGUUGCAUGGCCGACGUCAGCCUGUGCUGUGAGGCGAUCUGUUAAAUCAGAUAACAGGCAAGACCCACAUCUUUAUUUAC
rnacentral:rRNA from 1 species